rnacentral:rRNA from 1 species
AUUGAACGCUGGCGGCAGGCUUAACACAUGCAAGUCGAACGAGUGGCGGACGGGUGAGUAAUGCUUGGGAAUCUAGCUUAUGGAGGGGGAUAACUACGGGAAACUGUAGCUAAUACCGCGUACCAUAGGAUGAGCCCAAGUGGGAUUAGGUAGUUGGUGAGGUAAAGGCUCACCAAGCCGACGAUCUCUAGCUGGUCUGAGAGGGUGACCAGCCACACUGGGAAGUAGAAACGGCCCCAGCUCCUACGGGAGGCAACAGUGGGGAAUAUUGGGGAAUGGGGGGAACCCGACCGAGGCAUUCCGCGUGAAUGAAGCAGGCCUUCGGGUUGGAAAGUUUUUUCCGUAGCGAGGCGUUAACUACAGAAGAAGCACCGGCUAACUCCGUGCCAGCCGCCGCGGUAAUUC